AACGAACGCUGGCGGCAUGCCUAACACAGGCCAGUCGAACGAGACCUUCGGGUCUAGUGGCGCACGGGUGCGUAACGCGUGGGAACCUGCCCUUAGGUUCGGAAUAACUCCCCGAAAGGGGUGCUAAUACCGGAUAAUGUCUUCGGACCAAAGAUUUAUCGCCUUUGGAUGGGCCCGCGUUGGAUUAGCUAGUUGGUAGGGUAAAAGCCUACCAAGGCGACGAUCCAUAGCUGGUCUGAGAGGAUGAUCAGCCACACUGGGACUGAGACACGGCCCAGACUCCUACGGGAGGCAGCAGUGGGGAAUAUUGGACAAUGGGCGAAAGCCUGAUCCAGCAAUGCCGCGUGAGUGAUGAAGGCCUUAGGGUUGUAAAGCUCUUUUACCCGGGAUGAUAAUGACAGUACCGGGAGAAUAAGCUCCGGCUAACUCCGUG
rnacentral:rRNA from 1 species